rnacentral:rRNA from 1 species
GAUGAACGCUAGCGACAGGCUUAACACAUGCAAGUCGAGGGGUAACAGGGUAGCAAUACCGCUGACGACCGGCGCACGGGUGAGUAACGCGUAUGCAACCUGCCUAUAACUGGGGAAUAGCUCCCUGAAAGGGGAAUUAACACCGCAUAACACUAUUUAUUCGCAUGGAUUGGUAGUUAAAUGUAGCGAUACAGGUUAUAGAUGGGCACGCGUGACAUUAGCUAGUUGGUGAGGUAACGGCUCACCAAGGCUACGAUGUCUAGGGGUUCUGAGAGGAAGGUCCCCCACACUGGUACUGAGACACGGACCAG